rnacentral:lncRNA from 1 species
AUGUUUAAGUUUGCAUUCAUGCUGCAGCAUGAUUUUUGCUUGAUUUUAUUUAUUUGUUUGUGCCUUUAUUUGAAUUUCGGAGCAAUAAUUAAAUAGGGGAAAUCUGUUUAAAAAAAAAGAAAAAAAAAGGGGCAAGCGCCCUCUCUGGGCCGGCUUCUCUCCCCAGCCCAGCAGCCGCGCCCCCCCCCUCUCCCCGCUUCGGCCCAAGCCGCGGCCCAGC